rnacentral:lncRNA from 1 species
AGCGCGGCACAGCUGCGGCUUCCGGGUGGGCAUGCGCGCCGGCAGCGCAGCCACGUGCCUUCGGCGGGGCGUCGGGGCGCACGAUCUCAAGGCGGGUCUUGCGGCCGCCUACAGCGUGUGCGCGACGCCGACUGCUGAGCGGAGCACGCGCGCGCGAACUUCAAAUCGGGCGCGCGCCAGCGCGCGGCAGUGAGGCGGCGUGGCGUCAGACACAGUUGGGCCGGGGAAGACGUUGCAUGCCUCAACCGGGGGAACGACCCAAAGGUUCACGCACCCAGAAUCCCGACCCGUCAAGCCAGCAGCUGCCGCUUGGAGGGUGGUGGACUUCAGCGGGGCGACAAGACAUGCAACACUAAGACUACCACGUGGGAGAGACAUUGAUAGCGGCAAUGGAAAUAAAUGAUUUAUACGCUCGACGUCGAUAUUGGGCCAAUAAAGCAUACAAUCUGG